ACCCAGCAAUCCGACCGAAGACUCCGGUCUCCUCUCCAAAGUCCAAACGGAAAAACAAAAGAAAAAAAGAAAAGAAAACCUAAGAAAAAUGCUGCUGCCCACCCCGUGACGCUGCCACCACGCAAGAGCGGCGAGACCCAUCUUGCAGACCCACGCGACACCCAUCUCGCCGUGACGCCGCUACUGGCUUUGAUCUUAAAAGCAAUGCCAGACUUCUAUCAAAUGAUACCUUUUUAAAUAUUUUAUGAACAGGUUUAUGUUUUUGUGCAGAGUGUGCUAUGGUGCCAUAUUUGAAUUUCUUUGGGACACAACUAACUUCAAAAAAGUAAAAUAAAAUAACAGGUGUCUGUCUCUCUUGAUGACACAAUAAUUCUACAUGAGGGUGGGGAUAAGAAGCUGAUUGAAGAAAGAUGUGCAGAGGCACCUGCAUUCACAAUAGCCUCAAAUGCUGGUUUUGAUGGUGCACUGUUUAUUGGCAAAUUGUUGGAACAAGAUAAUCAUAAUUUGGGUUUUGAUGCUGCUAAAGGUGUAUAUGUUGACAUGGUGGAGGAGAGAAUCAGAGAUCCUCUCAAAGUGGUUAGAAUGGCUUUAGUCGACGCUACCAGGAUUUGCUCCUCUUCACCUCUGAAUCUAUCAAAAGGGCCGCUUUGCAAGCUAUCAGCAAUGACCAAUUUUCUGUUCCCAGCCUUGUAAUAGCUGUAUUUACUCAUGAUCUUUGGCUGGAUCACUAUGAGUGCUAUUGUCAGCUGUUUGAAGAUGUCUAUGCCAAUUGCAGAAGGACAACUCUGCUGUUGGUUGGCUUCUCUGCUGGUAGGUGACAAAUGCAAUUUCAAAGUGAACAUUGAGCUGGAGCUUGGAUUUGCCCAGAGUCUGCGCAUUAUCAAGAUGCCUGAAUUGAUGGAGUGCUUGUUGAUCAACACCACUGUUUGGCUAGGCCACUGGUGAACUCAGGAGAACGAGGCUGCCCCAGAACUCUCAACUGGUUAAGCUUGUUUGCUACCAAACUGAUUUGUGGGGUGGAUAGAAGAGUCCUGCCGAUCACUGAGCCUCUACUAUGAGAUUCUAUGUUUUGUGAAUAGCAAAUUAAAUCUUCAAAAUAUUGUCAAUAUUCUUACCUUACAAUUAACAAAAAAAGAAAAAAAAAUCUAUAUAAUUUUGAGAUCGCAUUUGAAUAUAUAAUAUAGUUUUUUUCCAA